UACGUAGGGGGGCUAGCGUUGUCCGGAAUCAUUGGGCGUAAAGAGCGUGUAGGCGGCCCGGUAAGUCCGCUGUGAAAGUCGGGGGCUCAACCCUCGAAUGCCGGUGGAUACUGUCGGGCUAGAGUGCGGAAGAGGCGAGUGGAAUUCCUGGUGUAGCGGUGAAAUGCGCAGAUAUCUGGAGGAACACCGGUGGCGAAGGCGGCAUCCUGGACCAAUUCUGGACGCUGAGGAGCGAAAGCCAGGGG
rnacentral:rRNA from 1 species